rnacentral:lncRNA from 1 species
AGGAUUUGAUUUAGGGUUUAGGAUUUGAUUUAGGGUUUAAAAUUUGAUUUAGGAUUUGGUUGGAAUUUAUUUAGGGUUUAGGAUUUGGUUAGGGUUUGAUUUAGGGUUUAGAGUUUGGAUUGGAAUUUGAUUAGGGUUUGAUUUAGGAUUUAGGAUUUGAUUUAGGAUUUAGGAUUUAGUUAGGAUUUGAUUUAGGAUUUAGAAUUUGAUUUAGGAUUUAGGAUUUAAUUAGGAUUUGAUUUAGGGUUUAGGGUUUGAUUAAGGUUUGAUUUAGAGUUUAAGAUUUGGUUAGGAUUUGAUUUAGAGUUUAGGAUUUGAAUUAGGAUUUGCUUAGGAUUUGGUUUAGGAUUUGGUUGGAAUUUGGUUUAAGGUUUGUUUAGGAUUUGAUUCACGAUUUAGGAUUUUAUUAGGAUUUAAGAUUCAAUUAGUUUUGGCCUAAAGUUUGAAUGAAAUUCAAUAGGAUUUUAACUAGAAUUAAAUUAAGAUUGAAUUUAGAUGUAUUUAAGUGAUAUUUGUGAUCUUUCUAAUAUUUCUUUAAGAAUUCUUAUUGUUUGUUUGAAAUUUCUUUGAGGUUUCUUUGAAUUUGAUUAAGCUUUCUUACUAUUAUUAU